rnacentral:rRNA from 1 species
UAGGGAAUCUUCGGCAAUGGACGGAAGUCUGACCGAGCAACGCCGCGUGGGUGAAGAAGGUUUUCGGAUCGUAAAGCUCUGUUGUAAGAGAGGAACGGGUGUGAGAGUGGAAAGUUCACACUGUGACGGUAUCUUACCAGAAAGGGACGGCUAACUACGUGCCAGCAGCCGCGGUAAUACGUAGGUCCCGAGCGUUGUCCGGAUUUAUUGGGCGUAAAGCGAGCGCAGGCGGUUAGAUAAGUCUGAAGUUAAAGGCUGUGGCUUAACCAUAGUAGGCUUUGGAAACUGUUUAACUUGAGUGCAAGAGGGGAGAGUGGAAUUCCAUGUGUAGCGGUGAAAUGCGUAGAUAUAUGGAGGAACACCGGUGGCGAAAGCGGCUCUCUGGCUUGUAACUGACGCUGAGGCUCGAAAGCGUGGGGAGCAAACAGGAUUAGAUACCCUGGUAGUCCACGCUGUAAACGAUGAGUGCUAGGUGUUAGACCCUUUCCGGGGUUUAGUGCCGUAGCUAACGCAUUAAGCACUCCGCCUGGGGAGUACGACCGCAAGGUUGA